rnacentral:misc_RNA from 1 species
GAUGAAGAACGCAGCGAAAUGCGAUACGUAAUGUGAAUUGCAGAAUUCAGUGAAUCAUCGAAUCUUUGAACGCAUAUUGCGCUCUUUGGUAUUCCGAAGAGCAUGCUUGUUUGAGUAUUAGUAAACACCUCAAAGCUUUUGGAUUUUUUAAUCGAAAAGCUUUGGACUUGAGCAAUCCCAACACCAAUCUUUUUGAGAUCGGUGGCGGGUUGCUUGAAAUGCAGGUGCAGCUGGACAUUCUCCUGAGCUAAAAGCAUAUUCAUUUAGUCCCGUCAAACGGAUUAUUACUUUUGCUGCAGCUAACAUAAAGGGAGUUUGACCGUAUUGGCUGACUGAUGCAGGAUUUCACAAGGGUCGGCAACGAUUCUUGUUAAACUCGAUCUCAAAUCAAGUAAGACUACCCGCUGAACUUAAGCAUAUCAAUAAGCGGAGGA